AGCAGCCGCGGUAAUUCCAGCUCCAAUAGCGUAUAUUAAAGUUGUUGCGGUUAAAAAGCUCGUAGUUGAAUUUCGGGAUUGACGUGAUGGUCAUGCCUUAAGGGGUAUGAACUGUCACAGUUGAUUUCUCACCUUCUGGAGAAACUUGAUGUCCUUUAUUGGGUGUCUUGCGGAUCCAGGACCUUUACCUUGAAAAAUUAGAGUGUUUAAAGCAGGCAUUUUUGCUCGAAUACAUUAGCAUGGAAUAAUAGAAUAGGACGGCAUGGUUCUAUUUUGUUGGUUUCUAGGAUCACCGUAAUGAUUAAUAGGGAUAGUUGGGGGCAUUAGUAUUCAAUUGUCAGAGGUGAAAUUCUUGGAUUUAUUGAAGACUAACUACUGCGAAAGCAUUUGCCAAGGAUGUUUUCAUUAAUCAAGAACGAAAGUUAGGGGAUCGAAGACGAUCAGAUACCGUCGUAGUCUUAACCAUAAACUAUGCCGACUAGGAAUCAGACGAUGUUAAUUUUUUAAUGUACUCGUUUGG
rnacentral:rRNA from 1 species